AUUGCACUCCCUACUCCUUUGUGGGUGUGCACAAAAGGGCAACCAGGUUCAAUGAACCUGGGACUUUCUAUGGUGUUUAUCAUUCUUCAUAUACAUCACCCACAAAAUGGGGUAAGAAGCAAGAAGAUAUAAACAUAUAUAUGUUUCAGUUUCAUUGACUUGUCGGCCGAUUCAUCACUUCAUUCUCAUGAGAGAUCAACCUCAAAGAUCCGGAGUCAAACAUCUAACUAUAUACAUAGUAUGGCAUCGAGAGAUUCAAGUAUGACACAAAAAUAUGAGUCGUGUUAAUGGCUUGGAGCCAAUUGGAGCAUGAAAAAAGAAGAGUUCCCCUAUCAAAAACUUCAAUCUCUUUUGUGAGAGAAAACCAAAAAUAAAGUUUAUAUGUAAUCGUUGUCUUGUACUUCAUUUUCAUUAUUUUUUCUAUUUUGCAUGGACAAACUAAGAUUAUACUUGGUUGUAAUCCUAUUCUAUAACUGGGCCUUGCUGACGCAUUUAUGGGA